GAUGACAUACAGAGUUAACAGCAAAUGGUCAAGUCAGUUAUGAUGAGCAGCAGCGACUGCAAACCUCAAAUAACACAACAGAACAGUUGCUAUGCAUUUACCAAAUAUGGCACAGCGUGGGCAGACUUACAUGAAGAGGUUACAAAAGCAUUUCUUACGAAAGCUCAGUUGUGAAAGCUUGCUGGCACUGCAGUAGUGGUCAGUUUGACUAUUUUUAUGUACGACCUCACACUGCAUGAAUUUCUCACUCUGUCCGUAAACUUAUUAUUCGUCUAAACAAAAAAACUGACCUGAAUGCAACAAUAACUAACAUUAAAAACAUCGAGGAAGCCACUAAACGUCUUCAUUAUACAAAAGCUGCAGGUUGGUGACUUGAAGGGACUUGGAGCAUGAGCGUGAGAUUAGCUGGCUUGUUGUCCGAGGGCGAGGCUGACCUGAUCCAGAUCCGGGCCACCUGUGUGGGCUAGCCUGCCCUCCCGUCUGCCUCCCGUCCUGUCUCCAGGAAGUGGUCACCAGGCAGCUCUUUGCCACUUUUUUUUUUUUUUCUCCCCUUCAGCCUCCUCAACCGGCCUCAGGGGCCCAGGGUGCGGUGACGCCACCGUUCUCCACCUACGCAGGAAGUGUUUUCAGAGCACCUGUCCAGUAGUGCCACAAGGCACAUCACCUCUGUGUACACCCAGACAAUCCCUGGUCCCUGAGCACGCUGUCGUUUCCCCUCGGGCCCAUUAUCAGAUCCCCUCUGUAGGCUCCCAGCAGCUGCAGUUAUUGUGGAAGACUCUACUUUUAUAGCCCCAUGAUGUCUGUGACAACACUAGCUUUUAUGAGUACACACACAUAUACCUACUCAGCAACAUGGAUCAGGAGCAGCUGACUUGGCUAGAAACUCUGUGGCACAGGUAGACAGAAGCAGGGUCCAGCGAGUGUCUACUGAGGCUGUAGACACAUCUGCCUGCUUGAUUUCACCUGGUAACUGAGCAUGUAGUAUUUACUUCUCGGCUGAAAUGCAAUCAGGGGCUGCUAGCUGGCAAGGAAGCAAUGAGCCUGCGAUUAGGUGCAGGGUUUUUUUUCCCCCCUCAAGAAGUAAGGUAGAGUUUGAGUUGAAGAAAUAAAAUGGAAAAAAAUGUAUUACAAUAGUUUGGCAACUCUCUGAAACUCCAGGUGGAUUUUUAAAGGUAAAAUUAUAUUAAUUAAGCUAUUAAAAAAGUAUUUAGUUAUUUUCAAUAUUUUAAAGUGAUUAUUUCUAACAUUUGAUAUUAAAGCAUUAAAGUUCUAGCUUCAACUAAAAAGAUGCCUACCUUAUGCAUCAUGAUUCUGUGUUUCAAAUACAUCAUUAUGAGCUGUUUCACUGCUGACGACCAGAGCCUUGUGAAUUCCUGAUGAUAAACGUGAUUGUGACACUGCUGAGGCUCCUACGGUAGAGUGCUCCCCUGCGCACGUAUAAACAUUUUACAUCCUCGAGACAAGAGUCACCUCUCUAAUCUGUCUGAAGAAGUGUGUGGAGAGGCCCUUUAUCCCACCCUGCUUUAACCGGUUGCUCACAGAAGAGCCAUUUACCUCCACUAAUGGGGGAAUGAGUCUUUCACUGGGGCCCUGUUUGCCUUUUAGCACACUGAAAGAAACUUCGCCAGAGAGGAGACAUUAAGAAAACCAGUUAACCUGGAGCGGUCUGUCUGGGAAUGGAUGGAGCUCCUUGGUGCCUUUUCAAGAGGUUUCUCUUCACAGAAACUAUAAAAGUGUUAGAUCAGCACUUUUCUCAGUAGCUCUGAUGAAGACACAGUGGUUAAACAAAUAGGCCUAAGUGGUUAGCCUUUUAGUCGUUGUUUAUCCAGUUUGAAGGCUUUAUGAAAAUGUUGCUGCUGUAAUAAAUGAACCACUCAACAUUCAUUAUACACUGUAUCAUUUCUGUUUAUUACUAUAUGCCCUUUAACUCAUAUCCCAAGGUCUUAUCAUUGUAGCCUAGAAAUUUUGUAAAAGUCAAGUACUGCAGUAACACAUGACAGAUUUUUUAACAAGCUUAAGAAUCUACAGUGACAGUGAGGCUUAUGUCAGCAUACAAACAUGUUCACAAUGAUAAUGCUAACAUGCUGAUGUUAAACCGGUAUUGAAAUUUGGAGAGAUUGCUUCUUAAGAUGGAGGUAUGAGGAGAUGCACUUUAAGCCCAAGAGGGUUAAAGUCAUAUUUGAUUUUAAAUCAAUAAAUGUUUUUUUUUUUGGAAACAAUUGUAAAUUCUGUUCACAGAUGGAUGACUUGACUUUAAGGUACAGAUGAACUUUGUAAUUGCUUGGUACUAUUCAUAAAUGUUAAAAAAUGGAAAUGAUGUAAAUAGGCUGUGCCUUGAAAUACAAGUUUAGAUACAGAAUUUAAUUGCCUGAAUUGGAAGAUGAACAUUUAACUUUUUUAUUGAUUGAUGGCUUCAGAUGAAAAUGUACAUUUUCUGGAUUAUAUUGUGUAAAGAUUGGAUGUUCCGGUUUAA